ACAUCCGGUGAAAUAUCUGUCUCAUUGUUCUAUCUGUGAUACCGCUGUCUGUCCAGUGCGCACAAAGUGCUAGUGCGCAGGCAUAGUCUUCCUGCUAAAACCCGAUGUAGAAAGAUGGCAACAGUCACAAAACGGCGUAUGCAAAAAUACAAAGGUCCCUAGAGCCGGCGUAACUGAACAGGACAGUGUUUUCCCCAUCAUUUUCCUGUAUGAAACACAGAGAGAAGACACUGACAAUAUCAAUACAUUUGACUAUUGUAUUGGUGCUUGUGUUUGCAGUCAGUCACCUUUUUAUCUGGCUUUUCUACUCCUGUGUUCUUGUCAUCUAUAGGUUUUUCAAUAGGAAGCACAUUUAAUCUCUGAAUAAACAUGGGUACCACAUACAUUGCUAAAUGAAUAAAUACACUUUAUGGCUCUUUUCAAUCAGAUCCACUUUAGCCUAUAUCCGCAUGACGGUUGUUUUGACUGUGUCAGAGGGGGAACUGCAGUUAGAGCUGUCAAAUCCACAAGUGGCUCACGGCAUUAUACCUAAAGCGGACAUUCCCAUUGGCUGCAUGGAGUUGCAUUAACAGAAAUCCCAUGCAGCCUUGUUUACAAGUUCAAACACCGGAAAGUGAGAUGUAAACUACACCUCGAUUACCAUGAUAGAAAUCCUCAUUAUUUUGUUUAAUGAUUUUUCAAUUUGAGCGUAAUAAUUUCUAUAGCCUAUACUUUCUCGUUCUAAACUUCUAAUGCGGGUGUGGCUUCGUGAAACUGAUCGCAAGAGCAUCUGCCAACCGAUUUGAAGGCUCCAAUGCAGUUCCACCUCUGACACUGCCAAAACAUCCACUAUGUGGUUGUCUGCUAUCACUGGUUAACGCUUGAUCUGAUUGAAUCUAGGCCUUAGACUACAUGGUUAAAAAUUGCUUGGAGUUGAAGACUGUGGAGCUACAGUGCUUCAUGGAAGUAUUUCCUUCAUUAGAAAAAUGGGCUAAGGGAAGGCCUGCUGUGAGGCCUGAAGCUGCAGGCAGAUGAACAUACACAGCCACACACACUCACUUACACAAACGGACACAUACUGUAGGCACACUCAAAUGCAGAAUGUAAUCAUGCACCCAUGUAUAUCUUUGAAAUAGACUUACAAUAAUGCCUGUGGGUCUAUUUGUACUGUAGGCUCUCUGAGACUGCCUUUUCCCAUACUGUAAUAAAAGCCAAA